rnacentral:rRNA from 1 species
AGUGAACGCUGGCGGUAGGCCUAACACAUGCAAGUCGAACGGCAGCACAGUAAGAGCUUGCUCUUACGGGUGGCGAGUGGCGGACGGGUGAGGAAUACAUCGGAAUCUACUUUUUCGUGGGGGAUAACGUAGGGAAACUUACGAUAAUACCGCAUACGACCUACGGGUGAAAGCAGGGGAUCUUCGGACCUUGCGCGAUUGAAUGAGCCGAUGUCGGAUUAGCUAGUUGGCGGGGUAAAGGCCCACCAAGGCGACGAUCCGUAGCUGGUCUGAGAGGAUGAUCGGCCACCCUGGAACUGAGACACGGUCCAGACUCCUACGGGAGGCAGCAGUGGGGAAUAUUGGACAAUGGGCGCAAGCCUGAUCCAGCCAUACCGCGUGGGUGAAGAAGGCCUUCGGGUUGUAAAGCCCUUUUGUUGGGAAAGAAAAGCAGCAGGUUAAUACCCCGCUGUUCUGACGGUACCCAAAGAAUAAGCACCGGCUAACUUCGUG